UACGAAGGGGGCUAGCGUUGUUCGGAAUCACUGGGCGUAAAGCGCACGUAGGCGGAUUUUUAAGUCAGGGGUGAAAUCCCGAGGCUCAACCUCGGAACUGCCUUUGAUACUGGAGAUCUUGAGUCCGGAAGAGGUAAGUGGAACUGCGAGUGUAGAGGUGAAAUUCGUAGAUAUUCGCAAGAACACCAGUGGCGAAGGCGGCUCACUGGCCCGGUACUGACGCUGAGGUGCGAAAGCGUGGGGAGCAAACAAG
rnacentral:rRNA from 1 species